GCAGGGGUUAAGAGGCGGUUGCGCAAGAGGCUAAGCCCUCUUGUGAGGAAAGUCCGGGCUCCAUAGGGGCAGGAUGCCGGGUAAUACCCGGAGGGAGUAAUCCCUGGAAAGGGCCACAGAAAAGAGACCGCAAGUGCUUCUGCCUAAUGUACUGGGUAGAAGCGCUUGCAAGGGUGAAAAGGUGGGGUAAGAGCCCACCGCAGGCUGGGGUAACUCAGCCUGGCACGGCAACCCCCAUCCGGAGCAAGGCCAAAGAGAGCCCACGGGUGCCCCGCCCAAAUGGGCUCAGGUAGGCCGCUUGAGGCGAAAGAGUAAUUUUUCGCCCAAGAUAAAUAACCGCCCUGAAGGAGGUUCUCCUCCUUCAGAACAGAACCCGGCUUACUUAACCCCUGCCCUA
rnacentral:RNase_P_RNA from 1 species